UCCAAAAUCUUAAAAUGAAUUAAAAAUUUGUGGGAAUGGAAUAGCGCCGCAGGCGAAAUUUUUCUAUUUACUGGUCACUUUCACUCUUUUUUUUACCCAUAAAAAACCAGAUAUAAAUAUUUAUUGAUCCCACUUCUCUCAGGGUGGGCAAUCAAGAGUCCAUAGUGGGCAAUGCCCACCUUUGCUCGUUAGUAGUUACGGGCCUGAAAAUUAUUUAUGUAAA